AUUGAACGCUGGCGGCAGGCCUAACACAUGCAAGUCGAGCGAGACGCGGACGGGUGAGUAAUGAAUCGGGCUCGGACCGAUGGAGGGGGAUAGGUAACGGGAACGGAUGCCAAAACCGCCCACUUGAGGCUGAACCCAUGUGGGAUUAGCUAGGUGGUGGGGUAAAGGCAGACCUAGGCGACGAUCUCUAGCUGGUCUGAGAGGAUGAUCAGCCCCACUGGAACUGAGACACGGGCCAGACUCCUACGGGAGGCAGCAGUGGGGAAUAUUGCACAAUGGGCGCAAGCCUGAUGCAGCCAUGCCGCGUGUAUGAAGAAGGCCUUCGGGUUGUAAAGUACUUUCAGCGGGGAGGCGUUACCCGCAGAAGAAGCACCGGCUAACUCCGUGCCAGCAGCCGCGGUAAUUC
rnacentral:rRNA from 1 species